GGAUUUUGGCUGUUCCUUGGAUGUUCAGCCAGCUACCCAGAGACAUACCAGAUAGGAUGUCUGGAUGCUCCUUGCAGGGGUGCCAGCGUCCUGUAGCCAGGAGGUUAGCCCUCAGCGAUCUGUUUUACUGUGAAUAAAACACUCCAUAAACCUUUCAAUACAUGUAAUUAUGGGUGUUGUUUUUCCUAAUGAGAAACAGGGACCAAACAAGUUCCUCUUUAGAAUAAGUUCCUAUAGAGUUUUCUGUUGGCAGAAACCAAAGGCAAUGGUGCAGUAAGGAGUAAACAUUGGAGUUCCCUGCACUUCAGUAAACAAAUGUAACUCAGUUCUCAUUUUCACUCUAUGUAACUAGAGCUUUUGUUUGAGUGCACAUACAGCACUUAAAUACAUAUGGGCAAUGCAGACUUUUCCAGUAUUGUGCUAGAUUAGGAUCUAUCCUUUCUCCUGAAUGUUUGUUAUAAAAAUGUUUGUUUUUAAAAGAAUAUUGUUAGUAGAAUAUUUUGGCCUAAACUGGGGAAUGAACAGGCAGCAUAUGUGAAGAAUGCUUCCUCUGCAUCCAUUUUUAAACCUUGUUUGAAGACAUUGUUUGAUUUAUCAGGUUAUUUUUCUUAUUAAUCACCUUACUGUUUGAUACACUUACUGCA